UACGUAGGUGACAAGCGUUGUCCGGAUUUACUGGGCGUAAAGAGCGCGCAGGCGGUCGUUCAAGUCGAGUGUGAAAGCCCCCGGCUCAACUGGGGAGGGUCAUUCGAUACUGAUCGACUCGAAGGCAGGAGAGGGAAGUGGAAUUCCCGGUGUAGUGGUGAAAUGCGUAGAUAUCGGGAGGAACACCAGUGGCGAAGGCGGCCAUCUGGACGGAUACUGACGCUGAGACGCGAAAGCGUGGGUAGCAAACAGG
rnacentral:rRNA from 1 species